CCUGCGAUUUUAGCAGGUGGAAGAGGGUAGCAAUAACAGGUCCGUGAUGCCCUUUAGAUGCUCUGGGCUGCACGCGUGCUACAAUGUUAGGAUCAAUAGGACUGCGAGCCUGAGAGGGUGCGCUACUCUUAUAAUCCCUAACGUAGUUGGGAUUGACGUUUGUAAUCAGCGUCAUGAACCAGGAAUCCCUUGUAAAUGUGUGUCAACAACGCACGUUGAAUACGUCCCUGCCCUUUGUACACACCGCCCGUCGCUCCUACCGAUUGGAUGACUCGGUGAAAUCACCGGAUGCUUACGAGCAGAAAGUGAUUAAAUCACGUUAUCUAGAGGAAGGAGAAGUCGUAACAAGGUAACGGUAGGUGAACCUGCCGUUGGAUCAGUU
rnacentral:ncRNA from 1 species